CAACUUUCAGCAACGGAUCUCUUGGCUCUCGCAUCGAUGAAGAACGCAGCGAAAUGCGAUAAGUAAUGUGAAUUGCAGAAUUCAGUGAAUCAUCGAAUCUUUGAACGCACCUUGCGCUCCUUGGUAUUCCGAGGAGCAUGCCUGUUUGAGUGUCAUUCA
rnacentral:rRNA from 1 species